rnacentral:misc_RNA from 1 species
GAUGAAGAACGUAGCGAAAUGCGAUAAGUAAUGUGAAUUGCAGAAUUCAGUGAAUCAUCGAAUCUUUGAACGCACCUUGCACCCUUUGGUAUUCCGAAGGGUAUGCUCGUUUGAGUGUCAUUGUACUCUCACACUUCUAAUUCCUUUCGGGAUUGGGAGCGGUGGACUUGGGUGUUGCUGCUUUAGUUGUGGCUCACCUCAAAUAAGUUAGUGCAACUCUUGGUUGGACAUAGUACGGCGUGAUAAGUGUCUUCGCCGGCGCCUCUGUAAGGAGGGUGGCCGAUCGGGAGCUCUGUGCUUCAACCCGUCUUCGGACAAUCUUUGACAACUUGACCUCAAAUCGAGUAGGACUACCCGCUGAACUUAAGCAUAUCAAUAAGCGGAGGA